AUUUAUUUGCAUAUUUGCAGAUGUUGUCCAACACAAUGUGCGUUGCUGUCAUUUUUGUUUUGUGCUUCAUCUCUUUUUCUUAUGCAGAUGAGGACACAUGUAUUAACGAUUCAACUGGAACACCUGAGUGCUGUGCAGAUUAUAAAAGAACAAUAUCAGGUUUAUGCAAACCUUGCAUUGGAUAUUUUGGAAAAAACUGUUCUACACCGUGUUUUAUUGGAUUUUAUGGUCAUGGCUGUCGCAAAAGGUGUAAUUGCACUAGUGAUACACAUUUGUGUGACGCCAAGUUAGGAUGUAUCGAAAGAUAUAGUAAUCAGAUACGUAAGUGGAUUUUUCUGAUAGAUGCUCGUUUUCUGUCAUAAUUUUUAUUUUAUAAAACGUCACAUGUUAUCCAAAUUUGUAGAAAAUGAAAUCAUUUUUACUAUUUUUUUUUUCAAUUUCAUGAUUUUCAAACUUAUCCAGAAUUAAAGUCUGCAAAAAUGGGAUCGCAAUGCAGGUCAAAUCAAAUAAUUUACAAA